rnacentral:lncRNA from 13 species
CGCCCCCCUCAGCCUGGCCACACCCCCGGGCUCCCGCUCACUGGUUGCAAAACAACCUCGUCCCUCCACGGAGCUUCCCUUCCUGGGGCCUGCUGGGGAAGCACCGGCGGCUUAUGGUGGCUGUGGUUUGGUGCUCGGGACCCACACGUAAAAGGAGCUCAUUCUGAGGCAGGGGCAGAUGAGAGUGGAGGCUGUAAAUUACCCUCUAUGCAAUGGCUCAUCAUAAAGGAUAUGGAGCGAAAUUAGAGGAGGCACGAGAAGGAAAGCCCGUGAUGAACAAGGCAGGGGCUGCUGCUGCGUGAUUGAAGACAGGCUGGGAACUCGGGAGAAGCCGCUGGAAAUUGACUUGGGUUGGAGGUCUGAUUCCAGCAUCCCAAGCCAGAAGAGCCCCGGGCGAAGCCUUCUGCUCUGCCUUGCGGAGUAGGAUAGGGAAUAUGUGUGCAGAAUACUUCCUGAGACUCAUAGUGCUAUCUACAUGGAAUGUGAAGUCAGAAUGUCUCUAAAUCCUGGCUCCGUUGGGUUUUGGCUGUGUGACUUUGGGAUAUCCGCUGGAAGCUACUGAGGACUCCUCAUUACUCUCCCUUGGAAGACUUUGCCUGCAAUGGAGCCAACACAGUGGAGAGCAGAGCUGAGAAAUGAACAGACAACUCCUGAUGCAUCAUUUGAGCACCUGGAUUUAGCCAUGCCUGAAACUAUUAUAGCCUUGGACUUUUCAACCAUGUCUCGGUUCCAGAGGGAAGAACACUGCCACCAGGAGACACACAACAAUCUCAUUAAACUGGAAGUUAAGAGUGCCACCAGGACACUUUGGGCUCCUCCUUCCUUUAAGUCAACAAGCUAAGAAGGGAGUUACAGUGUUGGCUAGGGUGUUGACCCAGCCUAUCAAGAUGAAAUCAAUUUACUACUCCACAACAAAGGUAAGGAAGAGUAUACAUGGAACACAGGGGAUCGAUUGGGCACUCUUAGUAUUACCAUGUCCUGUGAUUAAAGUCAAUGGGAAACUACAACAGCCCAAUCCAGACAGGACUACAACUGACCCAGACCCUUCAGGAAUGAAGGUUUGGGUCAUUCCACCAGGAAAAAAAAGCACCACCUGCUGAGGUGCUUGCUGAAGGCAAAAGGAAUACAGAAUGUGUAGCAGAAGAAGCUAGUCAUCAAUACCAGCUACGACCACGUGACAGGCUGCAGAAAUGGGGACUGUAAUUGUCAGGAGUAUUUCCUCCUUCGUUGUUAAAUAUGUUUGUGCAUGUAUAUACUUGUACUAAGAAAAUAUCUUCAUUUUAUUUCCUUUCUCCUUUAUCAUGUGACAAGAUUUAUUGACUUCACAUCAGCAUUUAAGUAUUGUUAACUUUACGUAAUAGUAUUCGGUUGGGGAUUGGUGAGUUUCUGGUUGUACGAAGGAUAGUUGUAUUGUGUUAGGUGUAAUUAUGACAUUAUUGUCUUUAUUUGAAGAUUAUGUAUGAUCUCAGGAGAUGUGUAUGGAUUCAAAUUGACAAGUGGUAGAUGGACCACUUGAGAUGGUUAAUACUGAGUAUCAACUUGACUGAAUUGAAGGAGACAAAUUAUUAAUCCUGGGUGUGUCUGUGAGGUGUUGCCAAAGGAGAUUAACAUUUGAGUCAGUGGGCUGGGAAAGGCAGGCCCACUUUUGAUCUGGGUGGGCACCAUCUAAUCAGCUGCCAGCACAGCUAGAAUAAAAAGCAGGCAGAAAAAUGUGAAAAGAGAGAC